UGCAGUCGAGCGCGAAAGCGGCUUCGGCCGUUAGUAGAGCGGCGGACGGGUGAGGAACACGUGGGUAACCUGUCCUCGGGUGGGGAACAACCCAGGGAAACCUGGGCUAAUUCCGCAUAAUAUCCUUAGCUCACAAGAGUUUUGGAUCAAAGCUGGGGACCCUUCGGGGCCUGGCGCCAGAGGAGGGGCCCGCGGCCGAUUAGCUUGUUGGUGAGGUAACGGCUCACCAAGGCUCCGAUCGGUAGCCGGCCUAAGAGGGCGUACGGCCACACUGGGACUGAGAUACGGCCCAGACUCCUACGGGAGGCAGCAGUGGGGAAUUUUUGUCAAUGGGGGAAACCCUGAACAAGCAACGCCGCGUGGAGGACGAAGACCUUCGGGUCGUAAACUCCUGUCGGAGGGGACGAAACCGAUUAUGGUUAAUACCCGUAGUC
rnacentral:rRNA from 1 species